GAACGCUGGCGGCGUGCCUAACACAUGCAAGUCGAACGGAGUUUACUCGCUGAUGAAGCUUCGGCAGAAUCUUGAGUAAACUUAGUGGCGGACGGGUGAGUAACGCGUGGGCAACCUGCCUCAUACUGGGGGAUAGCAGUUGGAAACGACUGAUAAUACCGCAUAAGCGCACGGUAUCGCAUGAUACAGUGUGAAAAAACUCCGGUGGUAUGAGAUGGGCCCGCGUCAGAUUAGCUAGUUGGUAAGGUAACGGCUUACCAAGGCGACGAUCUGUAGCCGGACUGAGAGGUCGGACGGCCACAUUGGGACUGAGACACGGCCCAAACUCCUACGGGAGGCAGCAGUGGGGGAUAUUGCACAAUGGAGGAAACUCUGAUGCAGCGACGCCGCGUGAGUGAAGAAGUAUUUCGGUAUGUAAAGCUCUAUCAGCAGGGAAGAAAGGCUCGUAAGAGAGAUGACGGUACCUGACUAAGAAGCCCCGGCUAACUACGUGCCAGCAGCUGC
rnacentral:rRNA from 1 species